rnacentral:rRNA from 1 species
UACGGAGGGUGCAAACGUUGCUCGGAAUCAUUGGGCGUAAAGCGCACGUAGGCGGUCUUUUAAGUCGGGGGUGAAAUCCUGGAGCUCAACUCCAGAACUGCCUUCGAUACUGGAAGACUUGAGUCCGGGAGAGGUGAGUGGAACUGCGAGUGUAGAGGUGAAAUUCGUAGAUAUUCGCAAGAACACCAGUGGCGAAGGCGGCUCACUGGCCCGGUACUGACGCUGAGGUGCGAAAGCGUGGGGAGCAAACAGG